GCUAUGCAAUAUUUUAACUAACUAAUAAUGUGGGUUAUUGAUUGAGAUUUAUCUCAGUUUUGUAGGUUUGUUUAUUUUCAAAUCAUCAAAAUUUACCAAUUAUAAUGUAGAUUUAUUUCCUAUAGUUAAAGCUAACAUCAAUUUUGAAAAAAAAAGCAUACAUCAAAUUUCUACUAACUUUUACCAAUCAUAUGAUUUACAUCCCCUAAACAUUAUUUCCCAAUUGAUUUACAUACAUGUCGUCACCACAAUCAUUGUCACAAAAGAAAAAAAGAUGACAUGUCACCAACCUAAUUGUGACAUAUAAAAUUUCCUUACAAAAAAUUAUAUUAUUUGGUAAGACUUUUUAAAUAUAGUAAUGAUCCAUGUUCGAAAUUUCGCUAGGUGCAACGCGUGCGGUUGACCUGGGCCUAGCGCCGAAUCAAUUAAACGGGGAUUAAACGGAAAUUAAUCGGCGCCUAGUUUUAAUACUAUUAUACAUUUAAUGUUAUCGAUUACCAAUAUAUAGCGUGUGGUGUGGUGGUUGAGAACGUUUUGUAAGACCGUGAAGUCGCCGGUUCGAAUACAUGUAACGCAUUUGUCUUUUUUUUUAGACUUUGCUUUAUUAAAUGAUAAUUACAUUAUUGCCACUGUCUCUUUCCCCAAUCUUUCUGCAACCCUAGCCGACUAGCCGUGUUUCUUCUCCAAAUACAGAUUGUCCUUCAUUUUUUUUUGAGUUUUCUUGAUGUUUACAGCCUAAAUUAGUCAAUUAAUUUCGAUUUUGGAGAUCUGGGGUCAAUAUUAUUAGAUUCAAACAGUUUGGAAUAGAGAAUUUGUGCGCUGAUUUCUUCAGUUCUACGUUGAACUCGGAGAAACGUCGCGUCACCGCCUGGCCACGCCGAUCAUACCCUUUUCGCUACGGUGGCCACGCGAGCAGCGCCUGUCAGGCCAAGAACUCGGUUAACGCGGCGCGUUUUCGAACACGGAUUAACGCCAUGAGUCAUCUCUCGAUCGCCAUGAGAUCGCUGAAGCUUUUAUACUCGCCAUGAGAGUGUAAACUCAUCGUAUACUUCAAGCUAUCAUACCUAUUACGGUUCUUUACAUUUGAUUCUUAGAGUUACAGAUUUGUAGACUAUCAUUAAACCUCUUCGGUUGAUGGAAGGAGUGUCUUCAUUGACAGAAUGGCAACCUGGAAGAUAUGAAAGAGUGAUAGGUUUUAAAUGUGUGAUUGGGAACUUAAUGAAACUCUGCACUGAGGUGUUUGUGAGAGCAGUUCAUGAAGCGAAAUGGAUGAACGAGAUGGAGGUAAGGUGUUUGAGUUUCAGUUUUCAGUUACUGUCUCUGUAUAGAUAGUUUAGGUAUAUAACCCUUAGUGUAGAGAAGACUGGUGUCUGGAUAGUUGUAUCAAGUGUUUUCGUUGCUUGCAAAUCACUUUGAUGGUCUGGAGUUUCAGUUUUCAGUUACUGUCUGUA